rnacentral:lncRNA from 1 species
CUGCCAUUGGACAGUGUAUAGCACUUGCCAAGCAUUGUGCUCAUUUCUUUAUGUGCUCACUAUUGGUCUUGCUCAGGAGCAAUACCCCAAAGGAGGUACUUUUGGUUAUCACUGAGGCAAUUGUAACUCAGAGAUGUUAACCUAGAACAAGAAGAAUGUGGCAGAUCUUGGGUUCAAAUCCAGCUUUACUCCACUCCACACCAUAAUGACUCCCUUUACCUUUUCCUAGAGAAGUCUGUUCCAAGCCUCUAUUCAGAACUGACCUUUCACGUUUUCCCCCUAUGGAGAGCCAACUGUAGUAGGAUAAUGUUUUGCAGAAUCAAGACAGAACUCCAAGUCUUCCUUGGACCCACCACUCAGGGAGAAAAAACAAGACAGAGUAAGUAUUACAGUCUCUUUUUUUGUUGUUGUUUUGCUUAUUUGUUUUUUCAGUUGGAGUCUUGGUAUGUUGCUCAGGCUGGUCUUGAAUUUUCAAUUCUCUAACCUCAGACUCCCCAGUAUCUGGAAGUAUAG